rnacentral:rRNA from 1 species
GAUCCUGGCUCGGGAUGAACGCUAGCUACAGGCUUAACACAUGCAAGUCGAGGGGCAGCGGGAUUGAAGCUUGCUUCAAUUGCCGGCGACCGGCGCACGGGUGAGUAACGCGUAUCCAACCUUCCGUACACUCAGGGAUAGCCUUUCGAAAGAAAGAUUAAUACCUGAUGGUAUGAUGAGAUUGCAUGAUAUCAUUAUUAAAGAUUUAUCGGUGUACGAUGGGGAUGCGUU